CAUUUCAUACUAACUGUCUAUUACUUUCUAUUAAUCCCGAAUAACAAAAGCUGAGGUGGCAUGACCUCCUUUUUUUGAAAUUUUUUUUAAUUUUUUUAUUUUUUAAAUUCCACAUAAUUCUCUACAUUCUAUAUUUCAUACUAACUAUUUUUUUAGCAAUUAAUUUUCUAAAUUUGGAAACUUUUCUGAUUUUUUUAUUUUUUAAAUUCCAUAUAACCCUCUACAUUCUACAUUUCAUACUAACUGUUAUUUUAGCAAUUAAUUUUCUAAAUUUGGAAACGGUUUUUCAUAAUUGCAAUUGAUAAAUUAUUAUAAACUAUAAUAAUUAAUUGUCAAAUUUAUUACUUUUUAUUAAUUCCACAUAACCCUCUAUAUUCUACAUUUUAUCUAUUACUUUCCAUUAAUCCCCAAUAACAAUAGCUGAGGUGGCAUGACCUCCUUUUUUUUGAAAUUUUUUCUGAUUUUUUUAUUUUUUAAAUUCCACAUAACCUUCUACAUUCUACAUUUCAUACUAACUGUCUAUUACUUUCUAUUAAUCCCCAAUAACAACAGCUGAGGUGGCAUGAUUUCCUUUUAUUGGAAUUUUUUUUAAUUUUUUUAUUUUUUAAAUUCCACAUAAUCCUCUGCAUUCUAUAUUUCAUACUAACUAUUUUUUUAGCAAUUAAUUUUCUAAAGUUGGAAACUUUUCUGAUUUUUUUAUUUUUUAAAUUCCAUAUAACCAUCUACAUUCUACAUUUCAUACUAACUGUUAUUUUAGCAAUUAAUUUUCUAAAUUUGGAAACGGUUCUUCAUAAUUGCAAUUGAUAAAUUAUUAUAAACUAUAAUAAUUAAUUGUCAAAUUUAUUACUUUUUAUUAAUUCCACAUAACCCUCUACAUUCUACAUUUCAUCUAUCUAUUACUUUCCAUUAAUCCCCAAUAACAAUAGCUGAGGUGGCAUGACCUCCUUUUUUUGAAAUUUUUUCUGAUUUUUUUAUUUUUUAAAUUCCACAUAACCCUCUACAUUCUACAUUUCAUACUAACUGUCUAUUACUUUCUAUUAAUCCCCAAUAACAAAAAGCUGAGGUGGCAUGACCUCCUUUUCUUGGAAUUUUUUUUUAAUUUUUUUAUUUUUUAAAUUCCACAUAAUCCUCUACAUUCUAUAUUUCAUACUAACUAUUUUUUUAGCAAUUAAUUUUCUAAAUUUGGAAACUUUUCUGAUUUUUUUAUUUUUUAAAUUCCAUAUAACCCUCUACAUUCUACAUUUCAUACUAACUGUUAUUUUAGCAAUUAAUUUUCUAAAUUUGGAAACGGUUUUUCAUAAUUGCAAUUGAUAAAUUAUUAUAAACUAUAAUAAUUAAUUGUCAAAUUUAUUACUUUUUAUUAAUUCCACAUAACCCUUUACAUUCUACAUUUCAUACUAACCUUUUUUUAGCAAUUAAUUUUCUAAAUUAGGAAACGGUUCUUCAUAAUUGUAAUUGAUAAAUUAUUAUAAACUAUAAUAAUUAAUUGUCUAAUAAACUAUAAUAAUUUCUAUUAAUUUUUAAAUUUUUUCAUUAAUAAAAUUCAAAAAUUAAAAAAAUGCCUCCAA
rnacentral:lncRNA from 1 species